rnacentral:rRNA from 1 species
GUGUCAGCAGCCGCGGUAAUACGGAGGGGGCUAGCGUUGUUCGGAAUUACUGGGCGUAAAGCGCACGUAGGCGGCGAUUUAAGUCAGAGGUGAAAGCCCGGGGCUCAACCCCGGAAUAGCCUUUGAGACUGGAUUGCUUGAACAUCGGAGAGGUGAGUGGAAUUCCGAGUGUAGAGGUGAAAUUCGUAGAUAUUCGGAAGAACACCAGUGGCGAAGGCGGCUCACUGGACGAUUGUUGACGCUGAGGUGCGAAAGCGUGGGGAGCAAACAGGAUUAGAAACCCCAGUAGUCC